rnacentral:misc_RNA from 1 species
AAGUCGUAACAAGGUUUCCGUAGGUUGAACCUGCGGAAGGAUCAUUAACCUUUUCAAAACAGGGUGCGUCGCGGCCCCGAGGUUGCGGAAACAAGCCUUCGAGCGGUUUGGGGUCCUUCCCCUUCACGCGCGCACGACUGCCAUCCUUACUUUACGAGCACCUUCUGUUCUCCCUCGGCGGGGCAACCUGCCGUUGGAACCGAAUAAACUCUUUUUGCAUCUAUGCAUUUAUCCUGUUCCGAAAUCAAACAAUCGUUUACAA